UUAUAGAUUCGUGGCAUAGCGUU
rnacentral:snRNA from 1 species